AUGCGAUACUUGGUGUGAAUUGCAGAAUCCCGUGAACCAUCGAGUCUUUGAACGCAAGUUGCGCCCGAAGCCACUAGGCUGAGGGCACGUCUGCCUGGGUGUCACGC
rnacentral:rRNA from 1 species